CGACCUCAGAGCAGGCGAGACUACCCGCUGAAUUUAAGCAUAUUACUAAGCGGAGGAAAAGAAACUAACAAGGAUUCCCCCAGUAGCGGCGAGCGAACAGGGAAGAGUCCAGCACCGAACCCCGCAGGCUGCCGCCUGUCGUGGCAUGUGGUGUUUGGGAGGGUCCACUACCCCGACGCCUCGCGCCGAGCCCAAGUCCAACUUGAAUGAGGCCACGGCCCGUAGAGGGUGCCAGGCCCGUAGCGGCCGGUGCGAGCGUCGGCGGGACCUCUCCUUCGAGUCGGGUUGCUUGAGAGUGCAGCUCCAAGUGGGUGGUAAACUCCAUCUGAGACUAAAUAUGACCACGAGACCGAUAGCGAACAAGUACCGUGAGGGAAAGUUGAAAAGAACUUUGAAGAGAGAGUUCAAAAGUACGUGAAACCGUUCUGGGGUAAACGUGAGAAGUCCGAAAGGUCGAACGGGUGAGAUUCACGCCCAUCCGGCCACUGGCCUCCGCCCUCGGCAGAUGGGGCCGGCCGCCCGCGCGGAGCAAUCCGCGGCGGGGUCGUGUCCGGUUGCCUUUCCACUCGCCGCGGGGUGGGGCCGUUCCGGUGUGCGGUGGGCCGCACUUCUCCCCUAGUAGGACGUCGCGACCCGCUGGGUGCCGGCCUACGGCCCGGGUGCGCAGCCUGUCCUUCCGCGGGCCUCGGUUCGCGUCUGUUGGGCAGAGCCCCGGUGUCCUGGCUGGCUGCCCGGCGGUAUAUCUGGAGGAGUCGAUUCGCCCCUUUGGGCGCUCGGGCUCCCGGCAAGCGCGCGCGGUUCUUCCCGGAUGACGGACCUACCUGGCCCGGCCCCGGACCCGCGCCGCUGUUGGCUCGGGAUGCUCUCGGGCGGAAUAAUCGCUCCCGUCAGCGGCGCUUCAGCUUUGGACAAUUUCACGACCCGUCUUGAAACACGGACCAAGGAGUCUAACAUGUGCGCGAGUCAUUGGGCUGUACGAAACCUAAAGGCGUAAUGAAAGUGAAGGUCUCGCCUUGCGCGGGCCGAGGGAGGAUGGGGCUUCCCCGCCCUUCACGGGGCGGCGGCCUCCGCACUCCCGGGGCGUCUCGUCCUCAUUGCGAGGUGAGGCGCACCUAGAGCGUACACGUUGGGACCCGAAAGAUGGUGAACUAUGCCUGGCCAGGACGAAGUCAGGGGAAACCCUGAUGGAGGUCCGUAGCGAUUCUGACGUGCAAAUCGAUCGUCGGAGCUGGGUAUAGGGGCGAAAGACUAAUCGAACCAUCUAGUAGCUGGUUCCCUCCGAAGUUUCCCUCAGGAUAGCUGGUGCUCGUACGAGUCUCAUCCGGUAAAGCGAAUGAUUAGAGGCCUUGGGGCCGAAACGACCUCAACCUAUUCUCAAAAUUUAAAUGGGUGAGAUCUCCGGCUUGCUUGAUAUGCUGAAGCCGCGAGCAAACGACUCGGAUCGGAGUGCCAAGUGGGCCACUUUUGGUAAGCAGAACUGGCGCUGUGGGAUGAACCAAACGCCGAGUUAAGGCGCCCGAAUCGACGCUCAUGGGAAACCAUGAAAGGCGUUGGUUGCUUAAGACAGCAGGACGGUGGCCAUGGAAGUCGGAAUCCGCUAAGGAGUGUGUAACAACUCACCUGCCGAAGCAACUAGCCCUGAAAAUGGAUGGCGCUGAAGCGUCGUGCCUAUACUCGGCCGUCAGUCUGGCAGUCAUGGCCGGUCCUUGCGGCCGGCCGCGAAGCCCUGACGAGUAGGAGGGUCGCGGCGGUGGGCGCAGAAGGGUCUGGGCGUGAGCCUGCCUGGAGCCGCCGUCGGUGCAGAUCUUGGUGGUAGUAGCAAAUACUCCAGCGAGGCCCUGGAGGGCUGACGCGGAGAAGGGUUUCGUGUGAACAGCCGUUGCACACGAGUCAGUCGAUCCUAAGCCCUAGGAGAAAUCCGAUGUUGAUGGGGGCCGUCAUAGCAUGAUGCGCUUUGUGCUGGCCCCCGUUGGGCGAAAGGGAAUCCGGUUCCUAUUCCGGAACCCGGCAGCGGAACCGAUACAAGUCGGGCCCCUCUUUUAGAGAUGCUCGUCGGGGUAACCCAAAAGGACCCGGAGACGCCGUCGGGAGAUCGGGGAAGAGUUUUCUUUUCUGCAUGAGCGUUCGAGUUCCCUGGAAUCCUCUAGCAGGGAGAUAGGGUUUGGAACGCGAAGAGCACCGCAGUUGCGGCGGUGUCCCGAUCUUCCCCUCGGACCUUGAAAAUCCGGGAGAGGGCCACGUGGAGGUGUCGCGCCGGUUCGUACCCAUAUCCGCAGCAGGUCUCCAAGGUGAAGAGCCUCUAGUCGAUAGAAUAAUGUAGGUAAGGGAAGUCGGCAAAUUGGAUCCGUAACUUCGGGAUAAGGAUUGGCUCUGAGGAUCGGGGCGUGUCGGGCUUGGUCGGGAAGUGGGUCAGCGCUAACGUGCCGGGCCUGGGCGAGGUGAGUGCCGUAGGGGUGCCGGUAAGUGCGGGCGUUUAGCGCGGGCGUGGUCUGCUCUCGCCGUUGGUCGGCCUCGUGCUGGCCGGCGGUGCAGGAUGCGCGCGCCUGCGCGGCGUUCGCGCCCCGGUGCUUCAACCUGCGUGCAGGAUCCGAGCUCGGUCCCGUGCCUUGGCCUCCCACGGAUCUUCCUUGCUGCGAGGCCGCGUCCGCCUUAGCGUGCUCCUCCGGGGGCGCGCGGGUGCGCGGAUUCUCUUCGGCCGCCAUUCAACGAUCAACUCAGAACUGGCACGGACUGGGGGAAUCCGACUGUCUAAUUAAAACAAAGCAUUGCGAUGGCCCUAGCGGGUGUUGACGCAAUGUGAUUUCUGCCCAGUGCUCUGAAUGUCAACGUGAAGAAAUUCAAGCAAGCGCGGGUAAACGGCGGGAGUAACUAUGACUCUCUUAAGGUAGCCAAAUGCCUCGUCAUCUAAUUAGUGACGCGCAUGAAUGGAUUAACGAGAUUCCCGCUGUCCCUAUCUACUAACGACAAUACCACCUGCGUAUUUAUCGUCGUCUGAAGCAGAGAUACAAGGAUCAGUUGGACAUUACAAGGCGCCAAUCCUGGGAAAGAUUUGUGAACGAUCAGCUGGGAACAGACCCUUGGGGAGUUCCUUACAAAAUCGUUCGAGAAAAAAUAAGAUCGCCCAUGAUGCUGUCUACGCUACGUGCUGGGGAUGGAGACAUGACCAAGAAUUGGGAAGAAACAGCAAGGUUGCUGUUGGAUACAUUAUUGCCUGAUGACAUUGAGGACCAAGACUCGCACGAGCAGCGGGACAUACGUCAGGCGCUGUCGAUUCCGUAUCUUAACGAUACAAACGUGUGCCCUUUCUCAGCAGAGGAGGUAGAAGCAACCAUCUACACCUUUGCAAGGAAGAAGGCGCCUGGUCCUGACGGGAUCCCUGUGGAGAUCUUACAGGGACUCGCACACUUGGUCGCCCCGGCACUAAGUCGUAUUUACAACAGCUGUUUACAAAGGGGCUAUUAUCCACUAAAGUGGAAAACUGCAGAAGUUGUAAUUAUCAGGAAAGGCCCUGAUAAAGAUCCAACAGUGCCGAAAUCCUAUCGGCCUAUCUGUCUGCUGGAUGUAAUGGGCAAAGCAUUUGAGAAGUUGCUGGCUGACCGUCUCCAGAGUCAUCGAACUCUGUAUGGUAUGAGUGAUAGGCAGUUCGGAUUCCGAAAGGGUCGCUCCACCCAGGAUGCGAUCAAUGAGGUUUGCCGGAUUGUUCACUCUGCGACAUCAAAGUAUGUACUUGGUAUAAUGAUAGACAUCUCAGGGGCCUUCGACAACCUGUGGUGGCCGGCACUCUUCUCUCGUCUGCGAGAGAUUGGGUGCCCGCGGCUGCUGUAUGGCUGUCUGGAGGCCUACUGUGAUGGAAGGACUGCUAGGAUAACGGCUCCUGGAGCCGUCGUAUCUAAAAGAGUAUCCCGUGGUUGUCCCCAGGGAUCGGUGUGUGGUCCCAUUUUCUGGGAUAUUAACAUGGAACCUUUGUUGAACGUCCUGCAGCGAGAGACUGCAGUUCUGGGAGUCGUUGCUUAUGCGGAUGAUCUCGCAAUUCUAGUAGAAGGUGACACUCGCAAUGUGAUCGAGGACCGAUCACGACUGGUUAUUGAUCUAUUAACCAACUGGUGUACGAAGACUAAAAUGUCUAUAGCACCACAAAAAUCCCUAUAUAUGCUCUUGAAAGGCAAGUUAAAUAGGGACCCAACGGUCAGAAUUAAUGGCCAAGUAGUGUCACGACAGAGAUAUGCCCGUUACCUUGGGGUAUAUUUAGAUGAGAAUUGGAGUUUCAUUCCGCAUAUCGAGCAAAUAACGACAAAGUCCUUAGCUUUGUUCAAUAAGAUAAUAUCAAUUGGACAAAGAAGGUUCCAUCUGCCGUCAAAGGCAAUAAAUAUUUACCAUAACAGUAUAUUGGCACCAAUAGUAGGGCACGCAUCCAGUGUGUGGGCCCACAGGUUAGCUCUGGUGCGGCCUGCCGCCGCUGUCAGGCGAAUACAGAGGAACGUUCUGUUGAGAUGCAUUGGAGCAUUCAACACAAGUCCAACAGAUGCACUGUUGGUAAUUAUGGGUCUAUGUCCAUUAGACCUAAUAAUAAGGCAGCACGCAGCCUUCUAUUGGCUGCGCAAACAGAACAUCGACAGGGUACAAGACAUAAUGGGCGUUCCUCUGUUAAGUGUCAAAGCCAUUCGCAAGAAAGUGCUUGACAUUUGGCAGGACGAAUGGGAUGGAUCCAGUACGGGCCGUAGAGUCCAUGGGUUUAUACCCACAGUAAGGGGAAGAUUAAAUAACAAGAUAAUGAAGCCCUCACAGGGCAUAGUUCACUUCCUCACAGGACAUGGUCCUUAUCCCACGUACCUGCAUAAAAUAGGGAAAAGGCUAACACCAGAGUGUGACUGUGGUGCCCAUGAAGGAUCGCCAGAACACAUAGUGUUCGAGUGCCAAAUAUAUGAACAGGCUGUCUCAGGGGAGAGGCAGCUUCUGCGGACUAGAAAUGUUAAUGAAAUAUUAACAGACAGCGAAAUGUU